UACGUAGGGUCCGAGCGUUGUCCGGAAUUACUGGGCGUAAAGAGCUCGUAGGUGGUUUGUCGCGUUGUUCGUGAAAACUCACAGCUCAACUGUGGGCGUGCGGGCGAUACGGGCAGACUUGAGUACUGCAGGGGAGACUGGAAUUCCUGGUGUAGCGGUGGAAUGCGCAGACUAUCAGGAGGAACACCGGUGGCGAAGGCGGCAUCCUGGACCAAUACUGACGCUGGAGGAGCGAAAGCCUAGGGGAGCAAACGGG
rnacentral:rRNA from 1 species